AAUCAACGCUGGCGGCGUGCCUCAGACAUGCAAGUCGAACGCGAAAUUUCCCUUCGGGGAGAAAGUAGAGUGGCGCACGGGUGAGUAACACGUAGGUAAUUUGCCUUUGGGUGGGGAAUAACUCAGGGAAACUUGAGCUAAUACCGCAUAAUGCAGCGGCUCGACAUCGAGACAGUUGUUAAGGCGGGGAGUCGCAAGACCUCGCGCCUAAAGAAGAAGCCUGCGGCAGAUUAGCUAGUUGGUAGGGUAAUGGCCUACCAAGGCAACGAUCUGUAACCGGCCUGAGAGGGCGGUCGGUCACACUGACACUGACAUA
rnacentral:rRNA from 1 species